rnacentral:sRNA from 1 species
CGACCGCUGCUUUUCAGCAGCUAAGGCCAGACGGACAGCCGGGUCGAAUGCCGA